GGGGGGGUGGCUUAGAUAAAGUAAGAGGGGUGAGGUUUAAGUGGUACCAAUGGAAGGGAUGGCAGGGUAAAUCAAACCCACACUAAAAGAGUAAUAAAUCAACAAACGGCAGGCACAAACACACGCUGCCAGCACACACACACACGACUUAAAAUUAGAGAGGAACAGGCAAGGGCAAGGGAGGGGGAAAACGUACAAGCACCCUGGCCAACAAAUUAAAAUGUAAGGCAAACCCACUCAGUCACCCAGAUCAGCCAGGCAAUCGGACAGGCAAGGGCAAUAGAGGGGAAAAACAUACA